ACGACCUUACUUGAACAGGAUCUGUUCUAUAGGCUCGUACCACUGUAUCCUCUCUUCUAAAGAGUCAGGGAACUAAGUCUAGUUGUGAUGAAUCAUGGCCAUUGGACCAGAGCGUGAUUAACAGAUUCAAUGGCUUGUCGGGUCAUGGGGACGUGUAUGAUCGUUCUUAGCACCUAACUUGGUGCUGGGAUGGUCUAAUGGUUGUCUGAUAGACU